AUCCAGCUGACGAGUCCCAAGUAGGACGAAACGCGUGUCCUGGAU
rfam:Schistosoma rodhaini strain Burundi genome assembly, scaffold: SROB_scaffold0013692